rnacentral:rRNA from 1 species
AACGAACGCUGGCGGCAGGCUUAACACAUGCAAGUCGAACGGUUGUAGCAAUACAGCAGUGGCAGACGGGUGAGUAACACGUGGGAACCUUCCUAGGGGUACGGAACAACUCAGGGAAACUUGAGCUAAUACCGUAUACGUCCGUGAGGAGAAAGAUUUAUCGCCCUUAGACGGGCCCGCGUCGGAUUAGCUAGUUGGUGGGGUAACGGCCUACCAAGGCGACGAUCCGUAGCUGAUCUUAGAGGAUGAUCAGCCACACUGGGACUGAGACACGGCCCAGACUCCUACGGGAGGCAGCAGUGGGGAAUCUUGGACAAUGGGCGCAAGCCUGAUCCAGCCAUGCCGCGUGAGUGAAGAAGGUCUUCGGAUUGUAAACUGCUUUUGUACGGAACGAAACGGUGAGCUCUAAUACAGUUUGCUAAUGACGGUACCGUAAGAAUAAGCACCGGCUAACUACGUGCCAGCAGCCGCGGU